rnacentral:rRNA from 1 species
CAUGGUUGUCGUCAGCUCGUGUCGUGAGAUGUUGGGUUAAGUCCCGCAACGAGCGCAACCCCUAUUGCUAGUUACCAUCAUUAAGUUGGGGACUCUAGCGAGACUGCCAGUGAUAAACUGGAGGAAGGUGGGGAUGACGUCAAAUCAUCAUGCCCCUUAUGACCUGGGCUACAAACGUGAUACAAUGGCUGGAACAAAGGGAUGCGAAGCAGUGAUGUGGAGCGAAACCCAUAAAAACAGUCUCAGUUCGGAUUGAAGUCUGCAACUCGACUUCAUGAAGUCGGAAUCGCUAGUAAUCGCGGAUCAGAACGCCGCGGUGAAUACGUUCUCGGGGUUU